UACGUAGGGGGCAAGCGUUGUCCGGAUUUAUUGGGCGUAAAGAGCGUGUAGGCGGCUUGGUAGGUCCGCUGUGAAAACUCGAGGCUCAACCUCGAGAUGUCGGCGGAAACCACUUGGCUAGAGUCCGGAAGAGGAGAGUGGAAUUCCUGGUGUAGCGGUGAAAUGCGCAGAUAUCAGGAAGAACACCUAUGGCGAAGGCAGCUCUCUGGGACGGUACUGACGCUGAGACGCGAAAGCGUGGGGAGCGAACAGA
rnacentral:rRNA from 1 species